UACGUAGGGGGCAAGCGUUGUCCGGAUUUAUUGGGCGUAAAGAGCGUGUAGGUGGCCAAGUAGGUCCGCUGUGAAAACUUGAGGCUCAACCUCAAGCUGUCGGUGGAAACCCCUUGGCUAGAGUCCGGAAGAGGAGAGUGGAAUUCCUGGUGUAGCGGUGAAAUGCGCAGAUAUCAGGAAGAACACCAAUGGCGAAGGCAGCUCUCUGGGACGGUACUGACACUGAGACGCGAAAGCGUGGGGAGCGAACAGG
rnacentral:rRNA from 1 species